AAUCAACGCUGGCGGCGUGCCUCAGACAUGCAAGUCGAACGCGAAAGUCUCCUUCGGGGGAUAAGUAGAGUGGCGCACGGGUGAGUAACACGUAGGUAAUCUACCUUUGGAUGGGGAAUAACAACCGGAAACGGUUGCUAAUACCGCAUAAUGCAGCGGCACCUAAUGGUGACAGUUGUUAAAGCGGGGGAUCGUAAGACCUCGCGUCUGAAGAGGAGCCUGCGGCGGAUUAGCAGUUGGUAAGGUAAUGGCUUACCAAGGCUACGAUCCGUAACCGGCCUGAGAGGGCGGUCGGUCACACUGACACUGACAUACGGGUCAGACUCCUACGGGAGCAGCAGUCGGGAAUCUUGGGCAAUGGGCGAAAGCCUGACCCAGCAAACGCCG
rnacentral:rRNA from 1 species